GCUAGACUUGGGCGACACGAUAGGAGGACCAACGUGGCUGACGGGCCCACCGCCACCGCACCGGCGCCCCGAGGGAACGAAUCAGCGGAUCCGACGGCUUGACCGGGAGGGAGGACGCCCGCGUUAAGGAAGCCAAAUUAUUGGUUUAAAACCGCGUCCGCACAGAGUGGGCGCACGCCACAGGCCCGCUUCUUCUUGGCAGCUUCCUCGUGCAGUCCCUCCCUCCCUCCUCAUCCUCUCACCCCACGUCUCCCCUCACGCGCCUCGCACCCCAUUCCCUUUUCCAGCCCCCCUCGCUUCGUCUGCGUCUGCGUCUGCGUCUGAGACACAGCACCACGCCGCGGCCGCCCCACCCACCCGCCAGCCAGCCAGCCCUCACAAAGACUUGACCGGUUCCUGCGACCGCCUCGGCCUCUUCGCCUCCACCGCCUCUUCCGCGAUCCCCUUCCGCCCGCCGUCUUCCGUCCGCAGCCCCAGCUCCGGCUUCCCCCUGCUGGUUACCGCUCUCCCCUCCGAUCGAUCGGUCGGGGCUACGUCCCGGCGCCGGCGCGGCUCUGCUCUCCGCACCACAGAUCAUAUACAAUGGAAACUCUACGUGACAUGGCUCUGCCACCAGGAUUUGGAUUCCAUCCCAAGGACACUGAACUCGUUGCUCACUAUCUGAAAAAGAAAAUACUCGGUCAGAAAAUCGAAUAUGACAUUAUACCAGAGGUGGAUAUAUACAAGCAUGAACCAUGGGAUUUACCUGCAAAGUGCAAUGUUCCAACCCAGGAUAACAAGUGGCAUUUCUUUGCUGCUCGAGACAGAAAGUAUCCUAAUGGUGCUCGGUCAAAUAGGGCAACGGUUGCUGGGUAUUGGAAGUCUACUGGAAAAGACCGGGCCAUUAAGGUGGAUAAGCGGACCAUAGGAACAAAGAAAACUUUAGUUUUUCAUGAAGGUCGGCCUCCCACUGGAAAACGUACUGAGUGGAUUAUGCAUGAAUACUACAUAGAUGAGAAUGAAUGUCAAGCCUGCCCUGAUAUGAAGGAUGCCUUUGUUCUAUGUAAAGUUACUAAAAGAAUUGACUGGACAUCAGAGAAUGGUAACGAGGUGGGCAAUAAUAACCCUCAGCCACAACAAGCAAAUGUUGCUGCUAUUUUAGCUGUCAGUGUUGAACAACCAGAUACUGCUGCAUCAUCAAUUAUUGGUGAUGAACUUCCAAGUGAUGCUGCUACGGUAGCUAUCCCUGCUCACACAACUCCAGAUGGGAAUGAUGACCUUAAAGAAUGGCUGGAAGAACUGCUUGAUACCUCCUUUGAUCCUUCUGCUAACACUGCAGUGGAUUCUAUUUCUGCUCAACUGUCUCCGGAUGAACAAAAUGCUGAAUCAUCGAACAUUGGUGCUAUGGCUCCGAAGGUGGAACUGGACUAUGCCAGUCCUAACCAGACUGUGGUAGACGAUACAGACUUCCUGUUGCCAGAUGAUAUUCACUCCAUGUUGUAUCCUGGUAGUGAUGACUUCACUUCAUGGCAGCAAACAUACUUUACGGCGGCGGAUCCCUUCAGUCUGUCAAACAACUUCAUGGAGGAAUUUCAGAUGAAAGAGCUACAGUUACCUCUGGAAAAUAAUGGGCCUAAUCUGUAUGAACCUGCUGAUACUGGAAUUGUAGUGCGAACACGUCAUGGGGGAACAUCUGCAGCCAGCGCUCCACCAUACAAGGCUCGACUUCAGCAAAGUCUUGGCAGGAUGGUUACGAGCAGCUCUGAAUCCAUCAACCAGACUAUCAAGUUCGUUGACAACAACGGUCAUCUUGAUCUCAUGACUAAUGUGAAACACCAGAAGAAACAUGUGCGUGAUAUUACUUCUGCCAGGCAGUCUGAUGCAAAGAAGUGUGGAGGUCACAACAACCAAGGAUUUCUCAGGGGCAUCCAAAGGGCAUUUAGAGGCUGUUCAGCAACAGGACUGAAUAUACUCGUUGCUCUUUGCAUGGUUGGAGUUGCUGCAGCAAUACUGCACCAUGGACGUCACCGUGGUGGGAUCAGUUUGUAGUAGAGGGGGAUCAGAAGCGUGCCUAGUUUUAGCUGUACAAAUCUGUAGCAUCUACGCACUGUGAUCUUGAUCUUGACAGUAGGCACUGUGAUUGAAGUGGACGAGCGAUUGAGCAUGUGGCUGGGAUCCUUGCCUUCUGGAGGUACUUGGUCGUUAGUCGUUACACGUAAUGUGUGCUCUGGUGCAGGACAUUGAUUCCCUUAUAUCUGGUUUCUUCAUGGUGUUUGUACAUAUGAAGCUCUUGCUUUUUGAUCAGUCUGGCUAGGUACUAUGGUGAUGGAUGAGUGCCAAACAGAAAAGAACAAAAACAUAGGGAAUAAUAGCUGUGAUAAGUUCUCUCUUACUGCAUGCUAGAUUUGUAACUCUGAACCAUAGUUAACAGCUUGUAGUAGGGUCAUCUUUUUCAUUCGAGUUGAACCAAGGGUACUUAUGUAAAUUAGCGAGUAAUAAUCAUCAUCUCACUUUGGAUUACAGCAUUAUUGGAUUACAGUAUUGCUGUCAUUUGAAGCGAUGACCUGUUUGCUUGAGUACUACUGUCAUUUGAAGCGAUGACCUGUUUGCUUGC
rnacentral:rRNA from 1 species